rnacentral:rRNA from 1 species
CAAUAGCGUAUAUUAAAGUUGUUGCAGUUAAAAAGCUCGUAGUUGGAUUUGUGGCGUACGGUGUGUUCCGGGCACUUGUUGUCUGAGUAACCUGCUGUUGCCAUCCUUGGGUGGAACCUGUGUGGCAUUAGGUUGUCGUGCAGGGGAUGCCCAUCAUUUACUGUGAAAAAAUCAGAGUGUUCAAAGCAGGCUUAUGCCGUUGAAUAUAUUAGCAUGGAAUAAUGAGAUAGGACUUUUUUGCUAUUUUGUUGGUUUGCGCAAAGAGGUAAUGAUUAAUAGGGACAGUUGGGGGUAUUCGUAUUCCAUUGUCAGAGGUGAAAUUCUUGGAUUUUUGGAAGACGAACUACUGCGAAAGCAUUUACCAAGGAUGUUUUCAUUAA